GCUAAAGAGCAAACCAUUAGCAGCUGCCCCUGCACCCAGGGAUAUAAUAGCGGUAAACUUCAAAGACCACUUUUCUAUCCCUGGUACUGGUGCCGCUGCUACCACCACCACUGCUGCCUC
rnacentral:precursor_RNA from 15 species